rnacentral:rRNA from 1 species
UACGUAGGGGGCAAGCGUUGUCCGGAUUUAUUGGGCGUAAAGAGCGUGUAGGCGGCCAGGUAGGUCCGUUGUGAAAACUCGAGGCUCAACCUCGAGACGUCGGCGGAAACCCUCUGGCUAGAGUCCGGAAGAGGAGAGUGGAAUUCCUGGUGUAGCGGUGAAAUGCUUAGAGAUGGAAUAGAAUACCUAUUGCGAAGGCAGCUUACUGCGCAGAUAUUGACGCUCAUGCACGAAAGCGUGGGGAUCAAACAGG